rnacentral:rRNA from 1 species
UCCGUAGGUGAACCUGCGGAAGGAUCAUUACCUUUCAGUACGGGGCUUAUAGUUCGCUAUAGCCCCUGUCUGCAUCCAUGUCUUUUGCGUACUACAUGUUUCCUCGGCGGGUUUUGCCCGCCGGUUGGACAACCUUAAACUCUUUGUAAUUGCAAUCAGCGUCUGAAAACUAUAAUAGUUACAACUUUCAACAACGGAUCUCUUGGUUCUGGCAUCGAUGAAGAACGCAGCGAAAUGCGAUAAGUAGUGUGAAUUGCAGAAUUCAGUGAAUCAUCGAAUCUUUGAACGCACAUUGCGCCCCUUGGUAUUCCAUGGGGCAUGCCUGUUCGAGCGUCAUUUGUACCCUCAAGCUCUGCUUGGUGUUGGGUGUUUGUCCUAUCCUCUGUGACUGGACUCGCCUUAAAAAUUAUUGGCAGCCGGCAUAUUGGCCUUGGAGCGCAGCACAUUUUGCGAGUCAAGCCUUUACACUGGCGUCCACUAAGCCUUUUUUAUCACUUUUGACCUCGGAUCAGGUAGGGAUACCCGCUGAACUUAAGCAUAUCAAUAAGGCGGGAGGGGAAGGUCGGACUGGCCAAGGGCACACAGGGGGGGAUAGGGGG